rnacentral:piRNA from 1 species
UUGGCAAUGCUAACAUUUCAAAGAUGGUACU